rnacentral:rRNA from 1 species
GUGCCAGCCGCCGCGGUAAUACGGAGGAUGCAAGCGUUAUCCGGAUUUAUUGGGUUUAAAGGGUGCGCAGGCGGUCUGGUAAGUCAUGGGUGAAAUUUUACAGCUUAACUGUAAGCGUGCCUAUGAUACUGCUGGGCUAGAGUUUAAGAGACGUAAUUGGAAUGUGAUGUGUAGCGGUGAAAUGCUUAGAUAUGUCACAGAACGCCGAUCGUGAAGACAGAUUACGAACUUAAUACAGACGCUCAAGCACGAAAGCGUGGGGAUCAAACAGGAUUAGAUACCCUGGUAGUCCACGCUGUAAACGAUGAUCACUCGUUGUUGGAUGGCAACAUUCAGUGGCUAAGGGAAACCGAUAAGUGAUCCACCUGGGGAGUACGAUCGCAAGGUUGAAACUCAAAUAAAUUGACGG